UACGUAGGGUGCGAGCGUUGUCCGGAAUUAUUGGGCGUAAAGGGCUCGUAGGCGGUCUGUCGCGUCGGGAGUGGAAACUCAGGGCUUAACCCUGAGCCUGCUUCCGAUACGGGCAGACUAGAGGUAUGCAGGGGAGAACGGAAUUCCUGGUGUAGCGGUGAAAUGCGCAGAUAUCAGGAGGAACACCGAUGGCGAAGGCAGGUCUCUGGGCAUUAACUGACGCUGAGGAGCGAAAGCAUGGGGAGCGAACAGG
rnacentral:rRNA from 1 species